rnacentral:rRNA from 1 species
UACGUAGGGCGCAAGCGUUGUCCGGAAUUAUUGGGCGUAAAGAGCUCGUAGGCGGCUUAUCACGUCGGGUGUGAAAGACCGGGGCUUAACCCCGGUUCUGCAUUCGAUACGGGCUAGCUAGAGUGUGGUAGGGGAGAUCGGAAUUCCUGGUGUAGCGGUGAAAUGCGCAGAUAUCAGGAGGAACACCGGUGGCGAAGGCGGAUCUCUGGGCCAUUACUGACGCUGAGGAGCGAAAGCGUGGGGAGCGAACAGG